AGAGCGAACGCUGGCGGCAGGCCUAAUACAUGCAAGUCGAACGGACCCUUCGGGGUUAGUGGCGGACGGGUGAGUAACACGUGGGAACGUGCCCAUUGGUUCGGAACAACUCAGGGAAACUUGAGCUAAUACCGAAUGUGCCCCCAUCCUUAAACAAGAUGGGUGGGAAAGAUUUAUCGCCAUUGGAGCGGCCCGCGUCUGAUUAGCUAGUUGGUGAGGUAAAGGCUCACCAAGGCGACGAUCAGUAGCUGGUCUGAGAGGAUGAUCAGCCACACUGGGACUGAGAACGGCCCAGACUCCUACGGGGGGCAGCAGUGAGGAAUUUUCGUCAAUGGGGGAAACCCUGAACGAGCAACGCCGCGUGCAGGAAGACACUUUUCGGAGCGUAAACUGCUUUUCUCGGGGACGAGUAAGGACGGUACCCGAGGAAUCAGCCCCGGCUAACUACGUGCCAGCAGCCGC
rnacentral:rRNA from 1 species